rnacentral:rRNA from 1 species
GACGAACGCUGGCGGCGUGCCUAAUACAUGCAAGUCGAGCGAGCUUGCCUAGAUGAAUUUGGUGCUUGCACCAGAUGAAACUAGAUACAAGCGAGCGGCGGACGGGUGAGUAACACGUGGGUAACCUGCCCAAGAGACUGGGAUAACACCUGGAAACAGAUGCUAAUACCGGAUAACAACACUAGACGCAUGUCUAGAGUUUAAAAGAUGGUUCUGCUAUCACUCUUGGAUGGACCUGCGGUGCAUUAGCUAGUUGGUAAGGCAACGGCUUACCAAGGCAAUGAUGAUUGCCCAAGUUGGGGGAUGGACCGGCCACAUUGGACCUGAGAAACGCCCAAACUCCUACGGGAGGCAGCAGUAGGGAAUCUUCCACAAUGGACGCAAGUCUGAUGGAGCAACGCCGCGUGAGUGAAGAAGGGUUUCGGCUCGUAAAGCUCUGUUGGUAGUGAAGAAAGAUAGAGGUAGUAACUGGCCUUUAUUUGACGGUAAUUACUUAGAAAGUCACGGCUAACUACGUG